UACAGAGGGUGCGAGCGUUAAUCGGAAUUACUGGGCGUAAAGCGCGCGUAGGCGGCUUUGCAAGUCGGGUGUGAAAUCCCCAGGCUUAACCUGGGAACUGCAUUCGAGACUGCAUUGCUAGAGUAUGGGAGAGGGAAGUGGAAUUUCCGGUGUAGCGGUGAAAUGCGUAGAUAUCGGAAGGAACAUCAGUGGCGAAAGCGACUUCCUGGACCAAUACUGACGCUGAGGAGCGAAAGCCAGGGGAGCAAACGGG
rnacentral:rRNA from 1 species